GACGAACGCUGGCGGCGUGCUUAACACAUGCAAGUCGAACGAUGAAGCCUAGCUUGCUAGGUGGAUUAGUGGCGAACGGGUGAGUAAUACGUGAGUGACCUACCUUUGACUCUGGGAUAAGCCUGGGAAACUGGGUCUAAUACCGGAUACGACCAAUCUCCGCAUGGGGUGUUGGUGGAAAGCGUUAUGGAGUGGUUUUAGAUGGGCUCACGGCCUAUCAGCUUGUUGGUGAGGUAAUGGCUUACCAAGGCGACGACGGGUAGCCGGCCUGAGAGGGUGACCGGCCACACUGGGACUGAGACACGGCCCAGACUCCUACGGGAGGCAGCAGUGGGGAAUAUUGCACAAUGGGCGCAAGCCUGAUGCAGCGACGCCGCGUGAGGGAUGACGGCCUUCGGGUUGUAAACCUCUGUUAGCAUCGAAGAAGCGAAAGUGACGGUAG
rnacentral:rRNA from 1 species